rnacentral:lncRNA from 1 species
CUCUCAGGUCUGCAGGGGAAGCCUCAAGCAGCUACUUUCUCACCUGUGACCAUCAAGAGAGGCUAGCAAGCCCAACUUCACAGGCUCAAGCAAGGAUUUUACCAAGGUCUGAUGGGGAUGGAAUGAUCUUCCAGAGUGCAGAGAAGACUGGCAGGCAGUCAUCAAGCUCUCUGCUGGUGUUUGGCUGCCUGUGCAGCACACUGCUCUUUCCUCAAGUCGCUCACAAAUCCCCCAGAUUUUGUUUGAACCUGUUUUUUGUUGAGUUCUUGGCAUGUGAAGGCAACAGCAGGUUAAUACGCCAUUUGUCGACGACUGACCCGGAGGACGCCCUGGAGAAGAGCUGCAGGUGGAGAGGAGACUGGGUUUCCAGAAUUCCCCCAUGGAGGCUGGAUUCCGGCAGGGGGGGUUAGUUGGACGGAGACAUCACUGAGCCAGCUGCAAAAAUGAGAAGUCAGAAGAAGAAGAAAAAAAAAGGAUAACCAAAGCCAUCCCCCUACAAAGAAAGAGGGAUCCCCUUGGAGACAAGCCUCUGGUAAGACUGAUUAAUUGAAAUGAGAAGGUCGAUCCCAGAAGUGGUCAGCGCCAUCCCAUGGGCUGGGCUCCUAAACCGAAAAGGAGAUGAGCUGAGCAUUCUGACGAUGUAAUGGGACCAUCUGACCUCCUGCUCCUGUGCCUUUCCGACCAUGGUAGACCAUGUAUCCCGGAACUGUGAGCCACAGUGGACUGUGCAUCCUGGAACUGUGAGCCAGGGCAAACCUAUCCUUCCUUCAACUGCUUCUUGUCUUCUGUCACAGCAACAAAGAAGUGACUAAUAACUCUAGCAACUAAACUUGGCCACCACAGCAGAGUCACAUGUAGCUGAUCUGUAGACUACACUACUACUGUGUGUGCGACUUGUGUGACUUUGCAAUGAUAGCAGGUGGGCCAUAUUGGGUAUGUAUGUAGGCUCUAAUUUGUCCUGAAAUAGCUAUUGGUUGGUCAAAAUUUGCUUUAGCAAGACUCCCUGUGAUAUAAUAAUUUAAGCCUAGAAGCUCCAUUUCUCAUUUUAUUCUCCCUUUGCUGUUACAAACUCUAUUUCAAAUGUUCUUUUGGAAACUGAUGGGUGUAGAGAGUAGGCCUAUGGUGCCUGUCUGUACCUUUUAGUGAUAACAUGACCUUAGGUUAAUUGCUUAAA